GUGGUAAUGCCGGAUGUUCCACAUGAGCGCAUGCGAGUGUGGGAAAGGCUUUUUGCGGCAUGGGAUGGGGUCGCGUCCUAUCAGCUUGUUGGUGGGGUAACGGCCUACCAAGGCGUUGACGGGUAGCCGGCCUGAGAGGGCGACCGGCCACAUUGGGACUGAGAUACGGCCCAGACUCCUACGGGAGGCAGCAGUGGGGAAUAUUGCACAAUGGGCGCAAGCCUGAUGCAGCGACGCCGCGUGCGGGAUGGAGGCCUUCGGGUUGUAAACCGCUUUUGUUCAAGGGCAAGGCACGGUUUUUGGCCGUGUUGAGUGGAUUGUUCGAAUAAGCACCGGCUAACUACGUGCCAGCAGCCGCGGUAAUACGUAGGGUGCAAGCGUUAUCCGGAUUUAUUGGGCGUAAAGGGCUCGUAGGCGGUUCGUCGCGUCCGGUGUGAAAGUCCAUCGCUUAACGGUGGAUCCGCGCCGGGUACGGGCGGGCUUGAGUGCGGUAGGGGAGACUGGAAUUCCCGGUGUAACGGUGGAAUGUGUAGAUAUCGGAAAGAACACCA
rnacentral:rRNA from 1 species